UACGUAGGGGGCAAGCGUUGUCCGGAACCAUUGGGCGUAAAGAGCGCGUAGGCGGCCAGAAAAGUCCGCUGUGAAAACUCGAGGCUCAACUUCGAGCUGUCGGUGGAAACUUUCUGGCUAGAGUCCGGAAGAGGAGAAUGGAAUUCCUGGUGUAGCGGUGAAAUGCGCAGAUAUCAGGAAGAACACCCGUGGCGAAGGCGGUUCUCUGGGACGGUACUGACGCUGAGACGCGAAAGCGUGGGGAGCGAACAGG
rnacentral:rRNA from 1 species